rnacentral:rRNA from 1 species
AUUGAACGCUGGCGGCAGGCUUAACACAUGCAAGUCGAGCGAGCGGCGGACGGGUGAGUAAUGUCUGGGAAACUGCCUGAUGGAGGGGGAUAACUACUGGAAACGGUAGCUAAUACCGCAUACCAUCAGAUGUGCCCAGAUGGGAUUAGCUAGUAGGUGGGGUAAUGGCUCACCUAGGCGACGAUCCCUAGCUGGUCUGAGAGGAUGACCAGCCACACUGGAACUGACAGACGGUCCAGUGUACUAGGGGGGGAAGGUGUGAGGAAGAUUGGACGAUGGGAGCGAGCCGGAUACAGCCACGCCGUGUGUGUGAAGAGGGCCAUCGGGUUGUCAAGCACAUUCAGAGAGGAGGCGUUGCGCGCAGAAGAAGCACCGGCUCACUCCCCGCCAGCAGCCGCGGUAAUUC